GGGGAACUUGGGUUAAUGUAUUCUGAAUAAAAGCUCUCGGACAAGAUAUCACCAUUUAACUUUUUUGACUUGUUGAAGAGAUCAAGUACCUUUUCUUUGUUUGAAUCUCGGUAACUCCAGUAAUUCCGUCUCAGACCAUCUGCAGGAAUACAAUAUUCUUUUUCAGACAUUCAAGAAAUGAACAUAACUGCCCCUCAGGCCUUUAUAGAAUAAAAAUCUGCAAUUUUAAUAACUUCCUUGUGGCAUUUUCACAUUCGGUAAGCCACCAUGGCGAAUCUCCACAGUUUUGACGUUCCUCAGAGACUUCUCUCCAUGCUGACCAAAGCUGCAGGUGUUUUUGUUCUCCUGGCUGUCUUCAUUCUGGAGUACAUAUUGAACUUGAACUUUCCAUGCUUCUGCAGGCCUGCAUGGGAAAGCCCACUACAUAUAGGCCCUCAUGGCUUACUGUACAUACUGUGCCCACCCACUAUAAUAACUUGUGCUAUCAUGCUAGUUGAUAAGAUGUACCAGAAGACGUUUUCCAGCAAGAGAUGCAGUGGGUGCUGCACAAAUUAUAACUGCUGCAAUUGCUUCUUUUCACUUACCAAACUUGGGAUCACAUUUCUGUCUGUAGUAUUCUACUGGAUAGCUGCUGUUUUCAUAGAUGGAGAAUGGUAUGUGUGCUAUCAGACCAACAACCAUCCAAAACAAGUUGGAAUUCCCUGUAAAGAAACGGAAAACCUGACCUAUGACGAGAGACUUGUCCUCACUGAUUACAAGACUGACUCAGUUGUCAUUGGCUUGCCUCUGGUUACCCUGGGCCUUGUUUUCUGGCACAUGUGUGAGUGCUGCUUCACCUAUCUCAAAAGAACAAACAACCGCUGCCAUCUUAAUCAACCAUAUUAUGAAAGGUUGUAUGAAGAAAUUCUGUCAGAGGAGGUAAACAAUCAUUUGAAGAAUGAACUGCAGGAAAUUGCGAAAGAGAGGGCCGAGAGGAUCUGUCUUCGGCCCCUUCAGUUCAUCAGGAGAGGGGAUCCUGGGAAUUCAUGGCAAGAUAUUUCAAACUCUGAUUUCUUUUUGUCAGACCAAUAUCAGGAGUCAGUGGGCACAGAAGAGUCAUCUCAUUCAAUAGGUUACUGAAGACUCAGCCCAGUGAGUGUUAUGAUUUUUAAAAGAUAUUUAAAAAAAAAUUUUUUAUGAAUUUUACGGAUGUUGAAAUUAUGUACAUUUUUCGGUUCUGAAUGAAAAUUGAAAAUGCACAUUUUCCAGAUGUUGAAAUGAUGUCUUUUACAUACAUGGAAUAACAUUCAUUUUCAGUUUUAAAUGAAACUUGAAAUGACGUCUUCUACAGACGUUGAAAAUACAUAUUUGUUGGGUAAUUUUUUUCUAUAGCCAAAUUUCAAUCGUACAUAGUUUUUCCCUUUAAAUAUUACUGAAGAAAGCCUUUAUGUCACGCUCAAAAGUUUUAUUUUCAAUAACAUAAUGAAUAUUGCAGUAUAGAUGAUUUUAUUAUUCACAUUUAUCACUCGCACUUAUUUAUGUUAGUCUUUUCGAAAGCUUCAGGACUGAAAGUAAUCAUAUUCAACAUUUCCUGACACAACCAACAGAACAUACACUACCACAACAUUCUCAGUAAAUGUUACAAAAACGUUUUAUUUGCUAUGAUUCUGAUAUGUGGUUGAAUGCACUGACUCUGGAUAAGAAUGUCUGCUGAAUGACCUAAAUGUAGAAAUGAACACUUGUGAUUGCGACCCCAUCCUCAGUAGCCUUUUCCAGUGUUUACUUCUUACGUUGUUACAAGUUACAUUAAACUUUCCUUCUUAAUUCACUCAGUAACGUUAUGGGAAAAGGGUUACAGACAUCUGUUUCACAAGUUUGGACAGCACAGACCAGUAUAGCACAAUAUAGUACAUUAUACUGUGCUCUACUUUACCAUACUGUAGUGUACUGAGCUGUACUCUACUCAUCUAUACUCUACUUUACUUUAAUGUACUGCACUGUCCAAACUUGUGAAACAUAUGUCUAUGAUAAUGUUAUGUACUAUGCUCUGCUCUGCUGUACUGUGCUGUCCAAACCUGUGAAAUGGAGGUCUAUGAAUGCUUCAGAUCUGGGGCAAAUCAGAACCAAUCAUAGACAUCUAUGUUUGGGACAAAUCAAGGCCAGUAACUGGACCAAAUAUACUGGACCAAAUAUGAACCAAUCAUAGACCUCUGUUUUGGCUAAAUAAAAGCCAGUCUGGACCAGACUAAAUCUGAACCGAAAAGGGGCCAAAUCAAGGCCGGUCCUAACCGGACCAAAAACAUGACGUCUGUGAAUGUUGGCCAAAUCAAGGCCAGGGUGGAACGACCAAAUUCCAACUACUUUUCAAUGUCCAUGGACGUCCGGCAUCGGUUGGUGCUCAGUGGGAGAAGAGCGUAAGGGUUUUAUUCAAAAAGAUAGUCAGGUUCUUCUUGAUUAGCAUUUCUUGUGCUGCAAUAACCAUUCUGAUUCAAGCUUAAUAAACUAUGUUUAUACAGCAUUAAAGCGAAACUUUAAUCAAUACAUAAUUGUAGAGUAAAUACUGCCACUUAGAGGAGAUAAAUAGCUAAUGUGUUAAAACAGGUAAUGUAGGAACAGAAGUGCCAAGUUCAAGUGUUGCUCUCCGUCUUUAUUCAUGUGACACACUAACAGUGUUAUAUAUUAUUAGAAAGGCUCUCAAGGUGUUUGGGAAAAUUGUUAUAUGACCAAUACUGUAGCAUGCUACUCUGCUUAUUCCGCUGCUCUGCUUAUUCACCACUGGUGAUUAUUUCAAAGAUCUCAAUGACAUUAAAUUUAGACAACACUGUCACUGAUGUAAAACCUACUGGAUAGAAAAAGUAUGUGAACCCGUUGGAAUUACCUGGAUUUCUGCAUAAAUUGGUCCUAAAAUUGGAUCUGUUCUUUUUUUUCUCUCACAACAAUAGAAAAACAGUGUGCUUAAACUAAUAAGCCACUGCUGUCCCAAAAAAAUAUUGCUGCACAUCUGAAGUUCGCAAAAGAGCACCUGGAUGUUCCAUAGUGCAACUGGCAAAAUACUCUGUAGGCAGAUGAAACUUAAGUUGAGUUGUUUUUAAGGAACACACAACACUAUGUAAAGUAUGGUGGAGGGAGCAUCAUGGUCUGGGGCUGCUUUGCUGCCUCAGGGCCUGCACAGCUUGCUAUCAUCAACGGAAACUUGGGAAUACAUUUUUAUCAAGACAUUUUGUAGGAGAAUGUAAGGUGGUCUGUCUGCCAAUUGAAACUCAACAGAAGUUGGGUGAUGCAACAGGACAACAACCCAAAACACAGAAGUAAAUCAACAACAGAAUGGCUUCAACAGAAGAAAAUACGCCUCCUGGAGUGGCCCAGUCAGUCCUGACCUCAAACCGAUUGAGAUGCUGUGGUAUGACCUCGAGCGGUUCACACCAGACAUCCCAAGAAUAUUGCUGAAUUGAAACCGUAUUCUACAGAGGAACAGUCCAAAAUUCCUCCUGAUCGUUGUGCAGGUCUGUUCCGCAACUACAAUAUUUGGUUGAAGUUAUUGCUGUCAAAGGAGGGUCAACCAGUUAUUAAAUCCAAGGGUUCACAUGCUUUUCCUACCCUGCACUAUGAAUGUUUACAUGGCAACUUUAUUAAACACAUGAAAACGUA